CAGAGGUGGCAAGCGUUGUUCGGAAUUACUGGGCGUAAAGGGCGCGUGGGCGGUCUUGUAAGUCUCGUGUGAAAUCCCUCGGCUUAACUGAGGAACUGCACGGGAUACUGCUUGACUUGAGUUCGGGAGAGGGAAGCGGAAUUCCGGGUGUAGCGGUGAAACGCGUAGAUAUCCGGAGGAACACCGGUGGCGAAGGCGGCUUCCUGGACCGACACUGACGCUGAGGCGCGAAAGCUAGGGGAGCAAACGGGAUUAGAUACCCCGGUAGUCCUAGCUGUAAACGAUGAGUGCUGGGUGUAGGGGGUAUUAACCCUCCUGUGCCGAAGCUAACGCAUUAAGCACUCCGCCUGGGGAGUACGGUCGCAAGGCUG
rnacentral:rRNA from 1 species